CUACGUGCCAGCAGCCGCGGUAAUACGUAGGGUGCGAGCGUUAAUCGGAAUUACUGGGCGUAAAGCGGGCGCAGACGGUUACUUAAGCAGGAUGUGAAAUCCCCGGGCUCAACCUGGGAACUGCGUUCUGAACUGGGUGACUAGAGUGUGUCAGAGGGAGGUAGAAUUCCACGUGUAGCAGUGAAAUGCGUAGAGAUGUGGAGGAAUACCGAUGGCGAAGGCAGCCUCCUGGGAUAACACUGACGUUCAUGCCCGAAAGCGUGGGUAGCAAACAGGAUUAGAUACCCUGGUAGUCCACGCUGUAAACGAUGUCGAUUUGGGGGUUGAACUUUAGGUUUGGCGCCCGUAGCUAACGUGAUAAAUCGACCGCCUGGGGAGUACGGCCGCAAGGUUAAAACUCAAAUGAAUUGACGGGGGCCCGCACAAGCGGUGGAGCAUGUGGUUUAAUUCGAUGCAACGCGAAGAACCUUACCUACUCUUGACAUCCAGAGAACAUUC
rnacentral:rRNA from 1 species